AACGCACCUUGCACCCUGUGGUAUUCCGCAGGGUAUGCCCGUUUGAGUAUCAUUAAAUCUUCAACCUCAAAACCUUUGUGUUUUCGAGGCUUGGUCUUGAGGGUUCUGCAGGCUUUUCCCAAAGUCAGCUCCCUUUAAAUUCAUUAGCGAGACUUCCCUUUGUUUGAGCCGGUCUCAUUGGCAUGAUAGUUAUCUGUGUCAACGUCGGUUCUCGUUGGGCUUGCUUCUAAUCGUCUUCGGACAACAGGAUUUUGAGUGCAUAUAUAUGCGCACGAUUUCCAAACCUUUUUGAUCUCAAAUCGGGUAGGACUACCCGCUGAACUUAA
rnacentral:misc_RNA from 1 species